UACGGAGGGUCCAAGCGUUAUCCGGAUUUAUUGGGUUUAAAGGGUGCGUAGGCGGCCUAUUAAGUCAGGGGUGAAAGACGGUAGCUUAACUAUCGCAGUGCCUUUGAUACUGAUAGGCUUGAAUGUACUUGAGGUAGGCGGAAUGUGACAAGUAGCGGUGAAAUGCAUAGAUAUGUCACAGAACACCAAUUGCGAAGGCAGCUUACUAAAGUAUGAUUGACGCUGAGGCACGAAAGCGUGGGGAUCAAACAGG
rnacentral:rRNA from 1 species